rnacentral:lncRNA from 1 species
UGAAAACACACUUUAAAGCGUUCAUGUAGAUUCAAGGUCGGAGGGAGGUGACUGCAUUUUUCAAGACAGGCUGCAAAGCCCGUGUUCUGGUACUACGUGAAGGAGGUCCUCAACAAGCACGAGCUGCAAGCGCUUCUACUCCCUGCGCCACAUCGCCUCAGACGUGGGCCGGGGCCGCACCUGGCUGCGCUGUGCCCUCAACGAACACUCCCUGGAGCGCUACCUGCACAUGCUCCUGGCCGACCGCUGCAGGCUCAGUACUUUUUAUGAAGACUGGUCUUUUGUGAUGGAUGAAGAGAGGUCCAGUAUGCUUCCUACCAUGGCAGCAGGUCCGAACUCCAUACUCUUUGCGAUUAACAUUGACAACAAGGAUUUGAACGGGCAGAGUAAGUUUGCUCCCACCGUUUCAGACCUCUUAAAGGAGUCAACGCAGAAUGUGACCUUGCUGAAGGAGUCCACGCAAGGAGUGAGCAGCGUGUUCAGGGAGAUCACAGCCUCCUCUGCCAUCUCCAUCCUCAUCAAACCUGAACAGGAGACCGACCCCUUGCCCGUCGUGUCCAGGAAUGUCAGUGCUGGUG